rnacentral:rRNA from 1 species
UACGUAGGGUGCAAGCGUUGUCCGGAAUUAUUGGGCGUAAAGAGCUCGUAGGCGGUUUGUCGCGUCGAAUGUGAAAACCCGGGGCUCAACCCCGGGCCUGCAUUCGAUACGGGCAGACUAGAGUUCGGUAGGGGAGUCUGGAAUUCCUGGUGUAGCGGUGAAAUGCGCAGAUAUCAAGAGGAACACCUGAGGUGAAGACGGGUUGCUGGGCUGACACUGACGCUGAGGCGCGAAAGCUAGGGUAGCAAACGGG